UUUUGGACAAUGGGCGAAAGCCUGAUCCAGCAAUGCCGCGUGCAGGAAGAAGGCCUUCGGGUUGUAAACUGCUUUUGUACGCAACGAAACGGCCUUUUCUAAUAAAGAGGGCUAAUGACGGUACCGUAAGAAUAAGCACCGGCUAACUACGUGCCAGCAGCCGCGGUAAUACGUAGGGUGCGAGCGUUAAUCGGAAUUACUGGGCGUAAAGCGUGCGCAGGCGGUUCUAUAAGACAGAUGUGAAAUCCCCGGGCUCAACCUGGGAAUGGCAUUUGUGACUGUAGAGCUAGAGUACGGUAGAGGGGGAUGGAAUUCCGCGUGUAGCAGUGAAAUGCGUAGAUAUGCGGAGGAACACCGAUGGCGAAGGCAAUCCCCUGGACCUGUACUGACGCUCAUGCACGAGG
rnacentral:rRNA from 1 species